UGUCCUUAGGGGGGUGCACUUGAGGGGCCCCAUGGCAAUCGAAUUAAGGGGGGAAGCCCCCCCACCCCGGAAGGCGAUCGCAAAUGGACCGAGGGAGAACCCUACUUUUGGAAGACUGAACUCAGGGGAGGGAGAAGGAGGAUUGCAGCCUGCAAUGCUAAACUAUUUUCAAGACAAUAGAGCAGCUGAGCAUGAAAGAUGCCACAUGAAAACCUUGGGGAUGGGUAAAUAAAGUCUGGAGAAUGUUAAUGUGAGGUUCCACAGCUCUAAAGAGAGGAUGGGAAGGAAAUCAAGAUUGUAUUCUCUUCUAAAGUGGACAGAAGAUUGAGUUGGCAGCUGAUAUUUCCUCACUUUCUGUAAGGCCCUUGAACUGAAAAAAAGAAGAAAUCCACAAAAUCAAACACUCACAAUGCUGAGUUUGUAGAGUUUCAUAAAAAGCAAUGUUAAUCACUUUUGAAAGGUUUCUGGAGUCUUCUCAUUCAGUAUAAGUACUUGUGUUGACUCUCAUUAAUACUUAGAAUAUUGACUCUAUAAAAUUUAAAUUCUAAAACAUUUUCCAUUACACCUUUAGCUAAAGUCGACAUGACAUUCAGAGUCAACCCUGUUUAUUUUCUAAAUGGAUGUUCCUG
ensembl:lncRNA